CCCUCCCCCCCAGCACCCUCACCAGCGACACCCACCAGUCUUAAACUGUGACAGCUGGGCCUCUCCCACCCCCUGCCGAGGGACCACACUGAAGUUGGACUGCAGAAUUUCGGGGAUCCUGCCUCACUAAGACCCUGCUGAGGCAGCGCAGUCCGACCGUGAGGGUGCACUGCCUGGGGGCUGUCAGCAGGUCUGCCUUCAGUCACAGCCUGAGGGUGAUUUCAUUCUCUCCACCUGCUGAUGGGGCAGUGGCCAAAGUACCCGGUCCUCCCUGUAGACUUGAGGAACCAAAUGGCCUGGAGAGCCCACUCUGCCGGACCUCAGUGCUCCCUUCCAGUUUGCAGAGAACCCACAGGACCUCGAGGGCCUUGAUGCUGCCCGUCAUUCCAAAUAAGAUCUGAUGGAAGCUGAAAACACCCUUCCUGGCCAAGAUUUCCUUUGGUGUAAACAAAAGAAGCAGGGCAGCCUGUGCCCCACUCUGACUGAGCCCUGCCCCAUGUCACCGAGCAUCUCUCAGAUGCUCUGGGUUCAAUAAAAACCCAAGUGCAUUACCCCAAGUCCUCCUGUCCCUUCCCCGCCUUUGAAAAGUCAUGGGUAUUUUGAUUGAAAUUUUAUCCACAUGUUCUUGAUUUAUUUGCAAUUAAAUCAUCAAAAUAUUA